rnacentral:rRNA from 1 species
UUAUAAAUAGAAUUUAAUUUUUUUGUUAAAAAGUUAAAAUAAUUUAAAAAGACGAGAAGACCCUAUAGAGUUUUAUAGAGAAAGUAAUUAAUAUUAUUUGUUAAAUUAAAGUUGAAAUUAUUUUAUUUAUUAUAUUGGGGUGAUAAAAAAAUAUAUAUAACUUUUUUUAAAUAAAAACAUUUAUAAGUGAUUAAUUGAUCCAAUAUUAUUGAUUAUAAGAAAAAAUUACCUUAGGGAUAACAGCGUAAUUUUUUUUUUUAGUUCAUAUAAUAAAAAGAGUUUGCGACCUCGAUGUUGGAUUAAGAUAAAAUUUAAAUGCAGAAG